GAUGAACGCUAGCUACAGGCUUAACACAUGCAAGUCGAGGGGCAGCAUGGUCUUAGCUUGCUAAGGCCGAUGGCGACCGGCGCACGGGUGAGUAACACGUAUCCAACCUGCCGUCUACUCUUGGACAGCCUUCUGAAAGGAAGAUUAAUACAAGAUGGCAUCAUGAGUUCACAUGUUCACAUGAUUAAAGGUAUUCCGGUAGACGAUGGGUAUGCGUUCCAUUAGAUAGUAGGCGGGGUAACGGCCCACCUAGUCUUCGAUGGAUAGGGGUUCUGAGAGGAAGGUCCCCCACAUUGGAACUGAGACACGGUCCAAACUCCUACGGGAGGCAGCAGUGAGGAAUAGUGGUCAAUGGGCGAGAGCCUGAACCAGCCAAGUAGCGUGAAGGAUGACUGCCCUAUGGGUUGUAAACUUCUUUUAUAAAGGAAUAAAGUCGGGUAUGUAUACCCGUUUGCAUGUACUUUAUGAAUAAGGAUCGGCUAACUCCGUG
rnacentral:rRNA from 1 species